rnacentral:lncRNA from 1 species
GUAAAAGGUAGAGCCACGUUUGGUGUCCGAGCUGCAGUGAGGCCUCCUUCAUGAAGCCUCUCCCAGUUCUCCGCCUCACCCCACCAAGCUGGAACUGAUCGCAGCCUCCAAACUCCCACAGCAAUCCUUUGCCUCCUCUUCUGACGCUACUCUUUCUCUCUUGGAUGAAAGCCGUGUGUAUCCAUGUUGGUUCUCCACUUCUAGAACCUGUCGUUUUGGGGCUGCAGGACUUGGUGGAUUCACACUGGCAUCCCCUCAGGAAGCAGGUGAGCAGGAAGUGACUGUUGGAUGCACGAAAAAGCAAGGCAACCACAGAGGUGGGAAAAUGCUGUCUCUUUUUCAUUGUUAAGUCACUACUUUAGGCACAAGAGUGUAACUAAGUCCUUUCCAAAUGGAAAAUGGCUACUUUAGAGCCACGUGGGCUUCUCACAAAUUACAUGUUGUGUCUUCUGUUCCUCUUUAAAAUAUUUUUCACAGGUAGCUUCAUUAAAAUGACGAUCACUUCUGGGAGCAAAUUAAUAAAUUCAAACAUAGACUAUUAGAAUUUGAAGGGACCUGCAAGACCCUUCUCUUUUUAGCUCUCAAUUUUAGAUCUAAGAAAAC